GCCCUUCUAUCUUUGGAAAUGCCAGGAGCCUUUGCAUAUCCUUACCACAGGACCAAGCAACCCCCAGCAGAGAAGAACGAUUACUGCCUCAGUGGCAAGAGGAUGGCUUUUGAUCUCUUAACAUAUUGGAAAUUACUUAAAGCAGGUCAAGGAUGGAAUUCAGGCAGGUGGGGGAUGAAAAGGAUGUUUGACCCGAUCCCUUCGGUAAUAAGGAUUACUGAUAACUGUGGUGAUAGUCCACCACAAGGUCCACUAAUGCAAGGAGCCUAAAUGUGGUAGUUGAAGCUUCAAAUUUGGUGAGACCCUUUCUGUGCACCUGGUUUUGGAAGUGACUCUUCCCCUUCUCAACCCUGCAGUGGAAAACAGGACCUUCGAAUGUGGGGACAGAAAGCACAAAUUUUGCAAAUGAGUUGUUGUCUCUACAACGUGAUAGUAAGCUGUUUUGAUCCUUCCUCCUUAUGAGCAUUGAGAAAGACACAUCUGCCAGAUAGUCACAUACAUAGCACCAGAGGCCUGCUAAUCCACUUGCAGUAAAGAUAGCACAUCUGGCACAGCAGAUACCAUUGACGUUAACAUCUGGUUAUGUUUAUGAUAAUUCACCAUCAUCCACCAUGAGCUCUCAGGAUUUUCCAGGGCUAGGUAUGCCCGGAAAUGAG
rnacentral:lncRNA from 1 species